UACGGAGGGUGCAAGCGUUGUCCGGAAUCACUGGGCGUAAAGGGCGCGUAGGCGGCUCGGUAAGUAGGGGGUGAAAUCCUGCGGCUUAACCGCAGGGCUGCCUUCUAAACUGUCGAGCUUGAGCACGGUAGAGGCAGAUGGAAUUCCCGGUGUAGCGGUGGAAUGCAUAGAGAUCGGGAAGAACAUCAGUGGCGAAGGCGGUCUGCUGGGCCGUUGCUGACGCUGAGGCGCGACAGCGUGGGGAGCAAACAGG
rnacentral:rRNA from 1 species